GGAUGACAUGGAGGUCACCUCUGAGUCUGACACCGUUGUUCUGGUUCUGAUCAAUGGUCAGAUCCAAUAGAUGUCCCCCAAAGAUACCCUCUGAUUCUGUGUUUCAGUGGACAGGAUGCUGUAGGAUAAGCAGUACCCCUCUGUGAAUUUGCCCAAGAAUCUCUGACUGCCAGGGCUGAAGUAACAGGUUCAUACAAUAUAGGAUCCACUCUAUAUAAGAUCCUUCUCCUCAUUGACCGGUCAAAGAUGGAUAGGGACAAGAUGGCGGAGAGUAUAAUAAAUCUCACCCUGGAGAUCCUCUUCUGGCUUACUGGAGAGGACUACACAGUAGUGAAGAAGACCUCUAGUGGGCUGCUGUCAGGCCCCUGUCUCUGAAGGAUGGGGAAGAACCCUGAGCCCAAUCAUGGGGCCUCCACCUAACCCCCUGAUACAUGAGCAAAUCAAUAUAGAGAAGAUUCUAGAACUCACCAACAAGAUGAUUGAGCUGCUGACUGGAAAGGUUCCUAUAAGGUGUCAGGAUGUCACCGUCUAUUUCUCCAUGGAGGAGUGGGAGUAUUUAG